UGAUUUAUUUCCAUUCUUUUUCUUCCAUAUAUGUCUACAGUAUACUAACUAGCUAGGUAGCUUCUUAGUAGGGAUUUCUUUGACGGUAGCAAUUAAAUACGGAAUAUGGAUAUGAUCAUCGUACGGACUAUAUAUUCAUAUUUAGCACUUCUUUUCAACGUUUCUCCAUUUUUUGCUGCUAUGUACGAGGUCUUAUACGGUAAACACAAGGUUUAUGUGUGAGUCCUAUCGCUUCGUUUUUCUACAAUAAAACAAGACACCUACUAAGAAGAGACUCGUACUAACUAUAACAUUAACAUAGUAGUACUGAAUGCUAUUAGUAUUGACAAAUGAGUUUGGAUUAGGUACGGUAGAGUAAGAAUGUAUAGAACUCACCUAUUCGGAGUACCAACCAUCAUAAACAUGUUUUCCAUGUUGGAUUUAUUCAAUAUAAAUCAACCAUAAAUGGUCUACUAUAUGUAAUAGGAAUGUAUAAGUUGGAGAUCAGUUAAGUUGCGAUUCAAUAUCCUUAUAUCAAUCCUACAUUAAGUGUCUUACAUUAUAAGUAGGUUUUUUGAUUGAAUCCUUAAUAAUAUAUGAUUAUGAUGUUUUACUUGAGAGCCAAGAAAGGAGAGUUUUAGCUUUCCCUUAUGGACGGAAUCUAAGACUUUUUGGCUAGUAUAUAAACACCGGUCCCUGCUAAUAUUAACUACAUUGCAAAGAUAAAAGAUUGGUACAGAGGAAGAGGAAGAAGACAGAGAGAAGCAAGAGAGAUUUUAGAGAAAGAGUUUAGAGAGAAAUAGGUUUUGUAUUGACUUACUGAAAUGAAGGUUACACAUACUAUUUAUAAAGAAAUCCUAACUACUUUAACCAAAUACUAACUACCUAACUAUAUUAGUAACUGUAUUACAUUUGUACCCUUAAUACUCCCCUCAAUCUCAACUGGGGUAUCCCAGUGUGAGAUUGCAGCAGAUUCUCAAAUAGCAAACACCGAAAUAUGGAUAAAUAGUUCAGUUUCUUCUCAACUGCAGUCUCCCACUAUGGUUGCCACAACUGACAGUUCAAAGUUCUUCUUAACUGGUCUGGCCCUAACUUUUGCAGACUUCCAAAACAACAGAUGUAAGACAGCAUCAUUAUGUUUACAUAUGUCAUCAAUAAAUCUCUGAUUUGCACGUAGUUUUCCGUCAUACACAACUUCUUGUUCUUCUAGAUCAACAAACUCUUGACUUUUAACAAACACAACACAACAAACUCUACAAUCCUUCAAGCUUCAAGCUUUCAGCAAUGGAGAACAAAUGAAUACGCACCUCAGAUUCAUUUUAAGCCGGCAAAGAACAACCCCCUGCAAACCAAGCCUUUCAACAGCUACAACUCUAAUCAACUAAUCUUUACAGAAAACAUGGCUUCGUGCCCACAAACUUCAAUCAACUAAUCUAUACAAAAAAACAUGGCUUCGUGCCGCAAACUUCAAUCAACUAAUCUAUACAGAAAACAUGGCUUCGUGCCCACAAACUUCAAUCAACUAAUCUAUACAGAAAACAUGGCUUCGUGCCGCAAACAAACAGUAACUGGCUUCGUGCCGCAAACAAACAGUAAUGGCUUUGUGCCCAAAGAAACAAACUUGAAAUGGCUUCGUGCCGCAAACAAGGAAUAAUGGCUUCGUGCCUCAAAGAAAUCAAUCGACUACUUCACAAAAUCAAAGAAACAUACACUUUUGCAGGGAAUUGGCAGCUCCACUAGAUCAUCAAAGUAGUGGAACAGAGAACAGAACAUGGAUCAAAUAACACUAGAAAAGCACAGACCAAAACCCAGAGACGGUGCUCGGCAGUGGUGAGGUCGGCGACAUUCCAUCUGCUUUCCUUGCCGUCACCGACCAAAACCCACAAAGAGUGAUUACUGCCUAUGUUUGGCUAUUCAUGCCCCUCUAAAGGAAUUGUUGAGAUUUGGCAGAUAACAAUGAAGUUUCAGUUUGUAACGACAAUAUACCUCGAAAAUAUACUUCUAACGCAUUAAAACAAACAGGUGAUGUGCAUUUCAGAAACCAGAAAAAAGAACAAGCUUGAUGAUAGAUAGUCGAAAUCAUUACCAAAAUCACAGAGAAGCACCAUAAAUCUUCAACAAUGUCAGCAGAAGAACAAAAACUCACUGCAGCAAUUCAUCAAACACCAACGAUGCAUAAAAUUUCAAGAAUGACCUGAUAAACAGCAACCAUGAAUCGAAACUCCAAUCUUGAAUCAACCAACGCAGAUGAAGAAACCCAGAUCGAGAAACCCAAAAGAACCUGCAGUCUUUAUGCUUCAACGAAAGAAGAAAAAUGGCACCAAGGAUGUGCGUUGCGUAUGAGAAUCUGAGGGUGUCGCAUGAAGAGUUCUUCAAGAAGCGACACGAAGAUAUCGAAGCAGAGAGUUUGAAGGAGUGCGACCAUGACUGCGGAGGUUCUCUCGCAGCUCAACGGCGUCAUCGCGAACGGCAGACAGAAUGGAGCACCGAAGAUCAACCCAACAAUCACAAUCACGAUCCCAACAAUCGCAGAAAAAUCAACCCAAGAAUCUACUGGAAAUUUGAAGAGACACUAAACUAGGAAGAAAAGAAAAUGUAAACUACUACGAAGAAAAACCACCAGAAUCCAUGGCGUGAGCCUGGUGGCUCUGAUACCAUAUUAACUACAUUGCAAAGAUAAAAGAUUGGUACAGAGGAAGAGGAAGAAGACAGAGAGAAGCAAGAGAGAUUUUAGAGAAAGAGUUUAGAGAGAAAUAGGUUUUGUAUUGACUUACUGAAAUGAAGGUUACACAUACUAUUUAUAAAGAAAUCCUAACUACUUUAACCAAAUACUAACUACCUAACUAUAUUACUAACUAUAUUACAUUUGUACCCUUAAUAGCUAACCCUAGAGACGACAACUAAGGCUUCCCAUAGAGCAUUGUCAUAAGGCUAGGAGUUUGCAGAAGAGUUGGUGUUUCUGUUUGUCACGGCAAACGCAAAGAUUGGAGUUUUAUCGAUCACGUCUUGCUUGCAUGGCUACUACAUCUUCGACAAUUGCUAUUGGAAUCAGGUCAGUCACUCAUUCGUUUGUGUUUUAAUUGUAUAACCUAAUAAGACUUACAAUUGGUAUCAGAGCCAUUGGUUAUAUGAUUAAAACCUAUUAGGUUUGAAGUUUGAUUCUAUAAUAUUAUUCUUUUUGGACUGCGAUUUUGAUCUUAAAUCCAAGUUGUGAUUCUAUUCGGCAACAUCACCAUGUUGGACCUGCUUGAAAACUGCAUAUUGUAUGUUUCCGCAUAUAAUUGCAUAUACGUGGCAUAUUAGUAUGAUAUGCACAGCACAAGUUUUACAUCAGUUCCUAUUUGGUCUUAGAGACCAAAAUUAUCAGUUAAACAAAACGAUUACAGAAUUGGAUAAUCUGUUUCUGCGAAUGGUGCCUGUCGAGUUCACGUUUUCUUCCACCGUCACCACCCUUCAAAUCCAUACGUGGGCUUUUCUAAUUGAAGCACUUAAUGAUGAUAUUGAAUUAACUAUAAUAAAGGAAGAUUGAUAUAGUUGGUUCAUUAUUUUAUGGAAUUGUAUAAUUGGAAUACUAUGAUGCUUAACGUUUUCUAUUUCACAUAUGCAUCGCAUAUGAGAUCCUGAUGGAGGUGGGUUAAGGAGCGGAUAAAGCCAACGAACCAUGUCGAGGCAUAAAGACACCGUCGUCCAACAUAAGACAAGUCAUGGACGUCACCUCCCAAGACAUGUGUAGCCUUGCAGGAAAUCACAUAUUUUGCUAUCGGAUAUAUCACUCAUAAAUUGGUAAACUAAUAAUUGUUGCAUGGUAGGUUUUCAAGCACUUCAAGCUUUCUUUCUUGUAUUCAGUUCUCAUAAAGAAAGAUUGGAACAGUUUGCUCAUCUUUACUAAAUUAAUUAUGACUGGAAGAAGAUGACAUGCUUUAAGCUUUCUAUUUCGAUAUUCAUGCCAAUGUUUUGGUUGAAUUGAUUUAGUGGUAGAUACAACUAUUUGGCUAACGUUGUUGUCAAUUUUGUAAGCAUAUAGAAAUAUGUACUUCUGUACUAAUCUUACCAAGAAAGACUAUGAAGCAUCUCAAGUCAGCAAGAUCGGUAAAGUCUCCUAUCAAAGCAAACAAUAUUGAUCAUUAUAUGUGUCAAUUGCGAAUUAAUUAGUUGAUCAUGCAUAUGGUUAUUUUUAUUAUUAAGUUUUUAAACUUGGUUAUCAAAACAAAGAGAAAAUAUAUGUUUUGAACAUGAUAAAUUCUACUAUGCAUGUAAAAGGCAUACCGAGAAGCAUAUGUAAAUAUGCAUAAAUUAUUUUACUUGUUUUUUAGACUUUAUUCUGUCAAGAUAGUCUGGAUGUUUCGGCACUAGUAGUCUAUUGCACUGUUUUUCAUGGGUAAAAUAAAUUCAUGGAAAUAAAUUUUGAAUCAGUUUUGUUACAUGAUAAUGUGUAGACCGAAUGUAAUUGCCAUGUCAUUGGUUGCUAUGGGAAGUAAUCAAUAUGGAUUAAAAUUUUAACUUUUGCAAACAUGUAGCAAAAUUGACAUAUGGCGUGUUUUAAAGGGAUUGGGUUGUCCUAUAUUGCUUUAAGCUUGAGAUGAUCUUAUGUAAAGACACAAAUGUGUUGAUUAGUAAUGCAGCAUACUAGCACUUAAGUAUGAUUGGGGAUUAAUUCAAGUACGGUUUAUAAUGAUAUUAAGUCCAUAAGGAAUUUGAAUGACUAAUCAAAUUAGUUUUGUCUACAAUUUUGCUUUUCUAUUUCAGUAUAGUCAUUUAAUUGUACAUGACUAGUUAACUAUGAAAUUGAUGCAUAACUUGUGGAUUGACUGAGAGUGACAGAAAGCAUCUGGUGGCAAGAACAAGGACAUUAUACAUAUGAAUGAGGUUUGCAGUAAUUAUGUGACACUUCUCAUUUGUAUUAUAUUUAUUCUUAUAUGAGAAUUAUGGUGGUCAUGUGAUUAUAUAUAUGUUUACAAAGAAGUGGUGAACAUAUGAAGGGAUGAGGUAUGUAAUCCAUUCAAAGUAUGUGAUUGAUAAGCAUGAAUUUUCAAACAUGUAUUAUUGUUUGUGGUUUUUCCUAUGCCUAAAGAAUUUAAACAGUGCUUUGAUUAGUAAAUUUUAUGUGUCAUAAGGGGAGAAGAAAAACAAGCUUUUGAGGCUAAUGUAGGGCACAUAUUGGAGAUGUUUUCUAUGGAAGAAAAUAAUUUUGGUUGUUCCUUUUAUUUAAUUUGGUAUUUACAAAGCUAAUGCAUGAUUUUAAUGCUAUGUUUAGUAGUUUUGUACUACGGAAAGAAAUAUAUAAAAGGAAAGGAACCCGUUUGAUAUAUAUUUGAGCGAUUUAGCUUUUAAAUUAAAGGGAUGUAUUGUUCUCUCACAUUACAUAAAGUAUUUCUAAUUGACUCCGUAAUGAUAAGUAUUGACAUUCUUGUGGUGAAAACUUGUUCUAUAUGUGAUUAAUCUCCUUCAAGUAUGUUGUCAGGUUUUUGAGAUUAAUUUAAUGUCAAAGGGAGUCAUGAAAUGUUGGCAAGACUCGAAGCUCGAAUCAGGUUAUCAUAAUUUUGUCACUUACAGUUAAUUAAUCCAUGUGACUUCUUGUAUUGUUUCAAGGCGGAGUUGACCAAUGCCUUUUCAACUAAGCAAGACGCAACGGCUUAGUUGACGAUGAGACUGUGUUUUUGAGUUACUUCGGUCAACUUUGCAUCUUAAUUAGAAUAAAAGGGAUAAUCUUCUUGCCUACAGGUGUGGAUUACUUUCUUUUUUAAUUAAGAUGGCAUAGUAUGAGUUUUAUUUCACAGAAGUUGUGAAAACCUUCAUCUUGCCUACAGGUGUUGAAGUUUUUCAUGAAGGAACUUAUGUGACAUAAAAUCUAGUACUAGAAACUAGUUAAUUUUCUUGCCUACAGGUGUAAAUUAAUUUAGUUUCAUGAAGUUUAUUGGGAUAAAGUUCCAUGCCAUUAGUGACAAAUAUUUCCACAAUGAGCCCCAUAAAAGGUUGUGGUUUGAAGGCAUGGUGUAUUUUGUAUCUCUUCAUGAGACUUGUUGAUGCAAAGUAUUGGACCCAUAAAGGUUAAUCAAGGAUUGCUAAGGUAUGCAUUGUUUAAAUCUUAUGCUUGUAAAUUUUUCAAUUUGAACUAUGAUGUUGUUUUAGAGGAUGAAAUUUGACUCCUAAAGUUUACUUUGGACAUCGAAAUUGAAAUGAUAUGAAAUUGAAUCUGUCAUAGAUGCAUAAAUUCAUGAUAGAUGUACAUAAUUGCUUCUGGCAGAUUGCGUGUCUUGAAUUAAAUCGGGUGAAUGACACGACUAAUGGUCACCAAAUGACCUGAAAUUUUGAUAUAUUCAACAUAUAGAUUUCUACUAUGUGUCUGCAAAUUUUUGUAAUUUUCUUCCAUGUAUUUUAAUUAUGGUGAAUUUACUAGUAACCCAUGCUCGUAUAGACAGUUUUACUGGCAGAUUGUGUUGGUCUUUUUGAGACAUAACUUUGGACUACUAUUUUGAACCAAAACGGCUCUGUAUUUUCAUUUUUGAAGAUUAGUAUGUCUAUUUUGAUCAGUAUACAUUUGGUAGCAAUCAAGCUUGUAAAUUAAUUAUGAUAAAUUCUAAAGUAAGUGUAACUCAUUCCUGAAAUUCAGUUUGACAACUUUAUGUUGGUUGUGAUGUCUAUUUUAUUAUGUCCAAAAUAUAAAGCAGUUUUAUUUAGGUACAUCUUUGAAAGAGUGUUUGCCCAAGUGGGAGAAUUAGUGAACGAAAAUUGGGCUUCACACUCAUUAACUUAUUUGCAAGUAUAAACUCUGAAAACUUAGUGGGAGUUGUUCUAAAGUUUGAGCAUUAAGUGGACUUGCAUGAAUCUAUUAAAGCGUUAUUCUAUCUUCCAUGAAUUUGUGUUACUUGAAUGUCUAUAAUAUGUUUAAGUUGCACGAAUUGAUACUUGGUAUAUGCGUACAUUUUUCUGUUAUUUGCAAUCAUUUGGAUUUCUUGGUUAAUCAUUUGUUUUGAGGCUCAUAAGGACUUAGCAUAAAUGUGGACUUAUUAAUACAUAUAAGAUGGUUCUUGGAUGCAUAUUUUUGUGUAACAGUGAUGAAUGCUUUUGUGCUUAGUUGUACAUUUCAUUGAGGUAAUAUGCAUUCAUUGACUAUGUAAGGCUAUUCCCAAAGGCAUAUUUUCAAAAAUAUGAUUUAAGUAUUGAUUUGCAAAUUAAGUAACGAUGUUGUAGAUCAGCGGGAGUUUGAGUUUAGUGUUAGUAAUGCCUUACAUUUGCAGAUGACCAAUAAGGUAUGUAUAGAAUCCAUGUAUAUUCAUUUUAAUCUCCAGUUGGAUUCAUUAAGUCACAUUUUACGUGUGCUAGUCAAUCAUCUGAUGAAAUAUAUAUCAGAUAUCAAGUUGUUAUCAAUUUGCAUAUUAAAUGGCAUGACAUGGUUUGUGCACUGGCUCCGUUGUGAGGAUUUCCAUCUUGCCCGCAGGUGUUGGAAAUCACUAUGAAAGUAACUGGUAUUGUGCAUAGAUCAGUGUCAAAAACAUAUUAAUUCAUCUUGCUCACAAGUGUUGAAUUAAUUUGUUUUAUGAAGUUUUGGAAUAAUAAAAGUUUACGUUGGCAAACAUGCAGAAUGCUUGAAAAGCAUAACGUGUCAUUUUGGAAUGAUAAAAGGUUUGCAUUGGCAAACAUGUUGACUGCUUAAAAGCAUAAGCGUGACUUUGGAAUGGUAAAAGUUUGCAUUGGUAAACAUAUAGACCGUUUAAAAGCAUAAGGUCUGACUUAUGAAAGUUACGAUAAAGUGGACCUGAGAUGAUAUAGAGUAAGAUAGUUUUUGAGUUAAAGUUCAUCUCUAGAUCAUAAUCUGGUGGUUUUCAUGUGAAUGGUUGACUCAAUGUGUGUGAUUAUGAAGGUUCUGAGAUGAAAUAUCUUUACAACCUUGUUAGUUCUACAUUGAGGAAUCCAUUUGACAGAAAUUUGAAUUAAGGAUGGGAUUGGAUCGCAGUGAUAUGGCCAUUAAAGAAACAAUGAUCUCCGACAUAUGUUUUGAAGCAUGAUCAUUACAAUUAGUGGACCAAGUGGGAGAAUGUUGGAUUUAUUCAAUAUAAAUCAACCAUAAAUGGUCUACUAUAUGUAAUAGGAAUGUAUAAGUAAUAUAUGAUUAUGAUGUUUUACUUGAGAGCCAAGAAAUGAGAGUUUUAGCUUUCCCUUAUGGACGGAAUCUAAGACUUUUUGGCUAGUAUAUAUACACCGGUCCCUGCUAACCCUAGAGACGACAACUAAGGCUUCCCAUAGAGCAUUGUCAUAAGGCUAGGAGUUUACAGAAGAGUUGGUGUUUCUGUUUGUCAAGGCAAACAUAAAGAUUGGAGUUUUAUCGAUCACGUCUUGCUUGCAUGGCUGCUGCAUCUUCAACAAUUGCUAUUGGAAUCAGGUCAGUCACUCAUUCGUUUGUGUUUUAAUUGUAUAACCUAAUAAGGCUUACAUUCCAGGGAUCAACAAGUUUACGUUCCAAGCAGAAUAGCAGAUGAAACCUUCAUCCUAGACUAGCCCAUUGUUGAUAUUGUAGGUGCCAGUUCUAUAGUGGCAGUUCACAGAAAGUCUCAUACUAGAGUUAGAAGCUAUGUUGUAACUCAUGGUGACUGCACUUGAGUCGUGGGCUCAAAACUCAGAAGGGUAGAGUCAAAGCAUAUGAUGAAGCCAUGAAGCUAAAUUAAUUAUCAAAACAAUAAGUGAUGAAGGAAAUUUGAAGUUUUACUCUAAAAUCAAUAUCAUUUUUUUUUUUAACAUAACCAAACCAAUAUCGUUGUAUAGGAAAAUGUAUUUGUUUUGUAGUGGGUACUACGUAAGCGACACGUAAAACAAAUAAAAGAUGGUUGGAAACAAUCUUAAGAGCAUAUAAUAGACUUGCUAAAUGAGCUUCUAGCUAAAAUAGAAAGAAAUUGAAAAAACUUAUCUCCAAUCACAAUUCCUCUUCUGCUUUUAAGAUAACUAAUCUUCAGCGAGCUCCUAAAUCUGGAAAGGGAGAAAAAAACUCCUAUAAUUUUUAAUUAAAAUUUGAUUUGAUGAAAUUAAAUACAUGAUUGAAGAUGCUCUAGAGACGCAUAUAAUGUUUGAUAUAUGAAACACCCCAACCUCAUUUAUUUUAAAAUAAUUGUUUGGACCUAAAUUGGUGAGCCAAGGGGCCCACCCCUUUUAUUUUGUCCCUCGG
rnacentral:lncRNA from 1 species